rnacentral:rRNA from 1 species
AUCGGACUUCGUGUCCGUGCUGUUGGUGACUCUGAAUAACUACGCAGAUCGCACGGUCCCGCACCGGCGACGCAUCUUUCAAGUGUCUGGCUUAUCACGGUGUUUAUAGGGUAUUCGCCUAUAAAACGGUUGACGGGUAACGGAGAAUCAGGGUUCGACUCCGGAGAGGGAGCCUUAAAAAUGGCUACCACAUCUAAGGAAGGCAGCAGGCGCGCAAAUUACCCAAUCCCAGCAAAGGGGAGGUAGUGACGAAAAAUAACGAGACGGAUCUCUUUGAGGCCCGUUAUUGGAAUGAGAACAAUUUAAAUCCUUUAACGAGGAUCUAGCGGAGGGCAAGUCUGGUGCCAGCAGCCGCGGUAAUUCCAGCUCCGCAGGUGUAUAUCUAUGCUGCUGCGGUUAAAAAGCUCGUAGUUGGAUCUGCGUGCUCGGAAUCGGUUGGCUCACUGAGCCCAAACUGAUCUCCGGCGCUUUAUUUGCUGGUUUUCCCUUGAUUCCUUUAACCGGGUGUCUUGGGUGGCUAGCGCGUUUACUUUGAAAAAAUUAGAGUGCUCAACACAGGCGCAAAGCCUUGAAUAGUGGUGCAUGGAAUAAUAGAAUAGGACCUCCGUUCUAUUUUGUUGGUUUUCGGAAUGCGAGGUAAUGAUUAAGAGGGACAGACGGGGGCAUUCGUAUUGCGACGUUAGAGGUGAAAUUCUUGGAUCGUCGCA